GGGCAGAGAAAGGGAGAGACAGAAUCCCAAGCAGGCUCCAGACUCUGAGCUGUCAGCACAGAGCCCAAUGUGGGGCUUGAACUCAUGAACUGUGAGAUCAUGACCUAUGCUGAAGUCAAGAGUUGGACCCUUAACUGACUGGGCCACCCAGGUGCUCCUAUGCAUAAUUUUUUAAAAAGUUGAGAUGACCAGAAAGCAACAGUCCUGGAUUAUAUUUUUAUUAAGUAGUUCCCUACAGAAGCACUUUCGGAUGGCUCUGAUUUAUGUUUUGAUUUAUGCUUUUGUUGUGGGUAGGCAUAAGAAAAGACCCCUUGAAAACUUCUACAUCUGCUACAAGGCAAGUAGAUGUUAUAACAUGGAAUAUUACUCCGUACACCAUUUUUAAGAAUCCUUUUAGUAAAUUUCCCAGAAUUCAGGGCCAGGCAUUUAUGUCAAUUGACGUGCAUUUGCGAAUCUCCCUUUACAAGCCUGGGGGAGGGCUCAUUCUCCCUCUGCCUCCGUUCUCCCCUUCCUACUCUGUUCCCCAGGGUAGUUUUCCUAAUGGUCAAACGCAUGGCAGUUACAAUAUUUAUCUCAUCUUUGGUUUUAAAAACAAUGGUUUUCCACCAUGGCUUUCACUCUCUUUUAAAAGUUUUAUUUUACUAUUCUCAAUUUUUUUAAGUGUUAUCACACUCUAACCCAAUACACCUCUUUGGAAAUAGCACGGUCUCCGUUAUCAAGAAGUGGCCCUUAAAAAUCAAUGCAGGUAAGUAAGCUACUUAGCACUGGGAGUCCAGCCCCCAUCUUGUCCCCACAGGAGAUGCUGUCAGUAUCCUGAAUCUGUUAGGACAGAGCGGCUGGCUGGAGUGGACAAUGAUUAGGCCCAUAUGCUCUUUCAGAACAAGAUUAACAGAAUAUUAAUGUGCGUGUGUGCAACCAGUAGAAAUAAAAAGAGUGAAUGUCAGGUGUACAUGAGGAAAGUCACCACAAAGUCCUGGUUAACCGAAUAGGAGAGCACUCAAAAAUAAUUUUCAAGAAACCAAGCUUGGUAAUCACUGUGCCUUUUUUUUUUUUUUAAAUAGAGUCUUCUGAUCAUAUUGUUCCCUUUCCCAGCUGCUUCCAUGUUUUUUAGUUAAAACACAGUGUGAUUGCUGAGAACAUUGUUAUAUAUAUGAGACGUGUGUGUUCUUGGUGACUAACUUGGUCUUAUGAGCCAUCGAGGCCUGUAGAAUAUGAAAGCCAUGUAAUCAGUUUUCCAAAAGAUAAUGGACGUGUUUCAUUUGUAGAGAAAAAAAGAUACAAUUUUAUAUUUGAAAUGUUUUCAUUGGCUAAUCACAAUGGAUAUUUAUUUAUUUAUUUAUUUAUUUAUUUAUUUUUAAGUGUUUAUUUGAGAGAAAGGGCAGGAACAGGGAAGCAGCAGAGAAAGGGAGACAGAAUCCCAAGCAGGCUCUGCACUGUUAGCGAGAUGCCUGACGCAGGGCACGAACCCACAAACCAUGAGAUCAUGACCUGAGCCGAAAUCAGGAGUCAGACGCUUAACCAACUAAGCCACCCAGGUGCCCCUGGAUUUUUAGAAUUAGAUUAUAAUAAAACAAAACCUUACUUAUCCAGUCAGUCUAAGUACUACAACACACACACACACACACACACUAACGUUGUAAGAUGGAAGGCAAGUAAGAAUGAGAAUAUCAAAUCAGAAUGUUAGGAUAAGGCUUCUAUUUAAAUAAUUAUUUUCCUUUUCCCUUCGGUGGGCGAAGACGACUUGGAGUUUUCCACAGUUACUUUAGAAUCUCCAAAAGCAUUGCUGGCCGAGGCCUGACCGGGAGGCGGAUGGUGCGCCUUGCCUUCUGCAGUCUCCUCGGCCCCCCUGGGGGCAGCCGUGCUGGUCGGGUCAUGUUUAAAGGCACAGCCUGACCCGAACAGUUCCUCCAUGAGACUGCUUUUCUUCUCGCUGAAGGUGUCUUUUGCUUUGGGUCGGGAAGACUUGCCGAAAGAGGGUUCGUACCCGCUCACAGAACGUUCUGGUUUCGGUCCCUCCGCGAGCCCGCGGGCCUUGCCUGCGCCGGCUGGCCCCCCUGACGCAGGCAGGCCCAGAUGCAGGUUCUCGGUGGCUUCCGUGAACAAGUAAUGCUUUCUCUGCCGGAAGGGUAUUUUGACGUUUGCAGCUGCGUUUUUCUUGGGCCCCUCACCCUCGUCACUGACUUGCAGACUUCUGAACUCUUCCUUCACUGUGUUGUCUUCCCGCGUGUCCUCCCUGUCAGGGUGAGUCUCUUGAAUUCUCUUUGGUGGCACUUCUUGUUCUUCGGGCACUAACGUGGUUUUCUUCUCUUGAUCUUCUUUUUUCUCCCUUUGUCUCUCAGGGUCCUCUGGAGGUGCUCGUACUUCCAAAUGGUCCUCUUCCUUUGAUAAAUCUGUAUGUGAAAAAUA